UCUCCAAGAAUUCCAGUUAAAAGUUCCAUCAACUUAUGGGGGCUGGACGCUGGUUUUGACUGCAUACAUUUCUGAGCGAGAUUGUACAUGCUUUCCAAACCAUAUAUCAGAAAAAAGAUAUCAAUGCAUUUUCAUAAAAAAGAUAAAGGAAAGAUAAAAGAGUAACUAGCCAACUGCUGAAUUCUUUUUUGAAGAGAAGGAUGUAAGAUGACGUCACCAAAGCCAUCCCCAUUUUUAAGGGCAUACCCUUUAUCAGCACCACGUGAGUGAGUGCUAAUGCCACGUGAGAAGCCUGACCAAGGGUAUUUUCCAAUAGUAGACUCUCUAACCAAUGAUGGUUGUCCUAAUAUUCUGUCCACGUAACUCCAAAUCACCUUUGCACCCUUUCUA
rnacentral:lncRNA from 1 species